rnacentral:rRNA from 1 species
UAUGUGAUCGUCUCUCGCAUAUCAAUAAGCGGAGGAAAAGAAACUAACAAGGAUUCCCCUAGUAACGGCGAGUGAAGCGGGAAGAGCUCAAAUUUGAAAUCUUAAAGGGUUUCCCUUUACGAAUUGUAGUUUAAAGAAGUGUUUUCUGUUGAGGUUUUGGUAAAAGUUCUUUGGAAUAGGACAUCAUAGAGGGUGAGAAUCCCGUAUUUGACCUUUACUUUCAACUUUGUGAUACACUUUCAAAGAGUCGGAUUGUUUGGGAAUGCAGUCCAAAAUGGGUGGUAAAUUUCAUCUAAAGCUAAAUAUUGGCGAGAGACCGAUAGCGAACAAGUACCGUGAGGGAAAGAUGAAAAGAACUUUGAAAAGAGAGUCAAACAGUACGUGAAAUUGUCAAAAGGGAAGCGUUUGACACCAGUGUUGUUUUUCUGAAAAUCAAUUAAAGAACUGUUUAUGCUAAGCUGUUUAGACUUUAUCAGCUAUCUGUUUAGUUUUGAGCUUUUCUUUAAUGCACUUUUCAGUUAACAAGUCAACAUCAAUUUCUUUUGCUGUAAAAAAGCUUGAGGAAGGUGGCUUGAGAUUCGUCUUAAGUGUUUAUAGCCUCUUGCCUAUGCAGUCGGAGAGAUUGAGGUCUGCAGCGUAGAUCCUUCGGGGCUAAAUGCAUUUGUGCUAAGUUAUAGCAUUUUAUAGACAACUUGUUGACUAUGAUUUGUCUUGUAGCUUACUCGCUUAUGUUAUUUUACCUACGCUUAGGAUGUUGAGUAGCGACAUACGCAC